UACAGAGGGGGCAAGCGUUGUCCGGAUUUAUUGGGCGUAAAGAGCGUGUAGGCGGCCAGGUAGGUCAGCUGUGAAAACUCGAGGCUCAACCUCGAGACGUCGGUUGAAACCACCUGGCUAGAGUCCGGAAGAGGAGAGUGGAAUUCCUGGUGUAGCGGUGAAAUGCGCAGAUAUCAGGAAGAACACCCGUGGCGAAAGCGGCUCUCUGGAACGGUACUGACGCUGAGACGCGAAAGCGUGGGGAGCGAACAGG
rnacentral:rRNA from 1 species